UACCAUGAUGAUUGAAAUAUUUUCUUCACUUUGACCUGAAACAUUGUGUUGAAAGACAAAAAUCUGAUU